GUGAGGAAUUUUCCGCAAUGGGCGAAAGCCUGACGGAGCAAUGCCGCGUGAAGGAUGAAGGCCUAUGGGUUGUAAACUUCUUUUCUCAGAAAAGAAUUAUGACGGUAUCUGAGGAAUAAGCAUCGGCUAACUCUGUGCCAGCAGCCGCGGUAAGACAGAGGAUGCAAGCGUUAUCCGGAAUGAUUGGGCGUAAAGCGUCUGUAGGUUGUUUAAAAAGUAUUCUGUCAAAGAUUAGGGCUUAACCCUAGAUAGGCAGAAUAAACUUUUAAGCUAGAGUUUGGUAGAGGCAGAGGGAAUUCCCGGUGGAGCGGUGAAAUGCGUAGAUAUCAGGAGGAACACCAAAGGCGAAGGCACUCUGCUGGGCCAAUACUAACACUGAGAGACGAAAGCGAGGGGAGCAAAUGGGAUUAGAAACCCGUGUAGUCC
rnacentral:rRNA from 1 species